rnacentral:lncRNA from 1 species
AUGAAAAUAGAACUAAUGAGGCAUUUCAAUGCAGAAAUAUUUUGAAAUCGUGAAAUAAUUACAACAUACAGGAUACAAACAGCGGGUACAUGCACAUGUGCUACAGUUUUAAAUACAAACAUAUAACAUACAAAAAAGUUAAGUAAGAAAUAAGCUGUUUCAUAAACAUUGUUAUGUACUACAACAGCAUGAAAUAGAUAUGUAUUAGUCAGUAAAUCAAUUCAUUACACCG